rnacentral:pre_miRNA from 1 species
AAAAAGGCAAACCCUGGGUUUCCGUGUCCAACUUUGACUGUCCGUCUUAUAUGAAAUUUUUUUAUAAUUCGUAUUUUCAUUGUUGUUAGAUGAUAAAACAUGAUUAAUAUUUUAUACGUGACUUGUCUUUUUAUUUUUUUCAUAUUUUUUUCAAAUAAGACGAACGGUCAAACGUUGGGCACGAAAACCAGGGUUUGUCUUUUU